rnacentral:rRNA from 1 species
AACGGACGCUGGCGGCAUGCCUAACACAUGCAAGUCGAACGAGACCUUCGGGUCUAGUGGCGCACGGGUGCGUAACGCGUGGGAACCUGCCUUUAGGUUCGGAAUAACUCAGAGAAAUUUGAGCUAAUACCGGAUAAUGUCUUCGGACCAAAGAUUUAUCGCCUUUAGAUGGGCCCGCGUAAGAUUAGCUAGUUGGUGGGUAAAGGCCUACCAAGGCGACGAUCUUUAGCUGGUCUGAGAGGAUGAUCAGCCACACUGGGACUGAGACACGGCCCAGACUCCUACGGGAGGCAGCAGUGGGAAUAUUGGACAAUGGGCGAAAGCCUGAUCCAGCAAUGCCGCGUGAGUGAUGAAGGCCUUAGGGUUGUAAAGCUCUUUUACCCGAGAUGAUAAUGACAGUAUCGGGAGAAUAAGCCCCCGGCUAACUCCGUGCCCAGCAGCCACGGUAAU